CCGGCAGCACUUCUUCUCUUCCCGCGACCGGCCAUGGAUCCGCUCGAGGGGUAAACGGAGCAGGACGGCGGUUCUUGCCGGCGCCAAGGAGCGCGAACAGGAGAGCACCCCGGAGACGUAUAAUUCCGUUGGCGCGCCGCCGCAUCGGAGGGUGCCAAGAAGCACGAUCUUGAGGGAAUUGACUGAUGGAACAGCCUGAGUCGGACUCGCAACACGACAUCCAUCGCCACCGGAGCUGACGAUGGCGCCAGUUCAGAGGCCCUGUUCUUGGCGCAUCGUCAUCCUCGGUGUCGGCGCCGGCGGAAGUCAGGCAUGAAGACGUCUCUGUGAUGGCCGGCGGCGAUCAGCUUGCCGGGCUGGGAGACGACCCGCAGCAGAAACAGGCUUGCUUCAACUUCAGAUUGCCUCCACUUUGACGAAGUCGAACCAGCAGUCGUCGCCCAUUACCAGAACGGGCACCUCGCUCCCCUUCUCCCCUUCGGACUGCCGGCCUCCUUCUCCCCUUUGGACCGCCGUUUAAAAUAUGGCUAUUGAAGAUCCAUUUAUACUUCCACAUGGUUUUUAGAAUCUGGAUAAAAUCACUGCAGUAAUGUGAUUCGUUCAGUAGCUGGUGUUUGGCACUUGGAAACAACGGAAUAGAAGUUUUGUUGAUGAGGUAAGGUAAGGAAAAAAUUAUUUGCCCAUUGCUUUCUGUUUGUCUGGUUGUGGUAAUGAUCUAUUUAAGCCCAUUUCCUGUGGUUGUGAAUUGUAUUUACCUGCAUGUCAAAAUAGUAUGAUAAAAUUUGUUUCAGACUUUGAGUGUACUAAAGUUCCGGAUAAUCAGAAGUUUUUAUCACAUCAUGCAACGAUGUAAAACCCAGAAAAAUUCAGACUGUAUGCAUCAUUUGCUGUAAAGCCAUUACACAGCGCCACCCAGGAGGAUCUCAAAUGCUCUUAGAGAAACUUAACAUAAGUAGGUUAACUGGUUUUUCCUUCUCUUUGGUUUGCAUCACUAUGUUUUUAUCCAUGAAGCGUUCAGUACCCUAUAUCUUUACAAGGAAGGAAGCUAGGCCAGUGUGUUUUGUAAUGACAUUUAGUUAUAUAGGCAACCUGCUUGCAUAGUAUAUUCCAACCUCUUUUUAACUUGCCUUCAAUGAACAAACGUGAUGAUACCCAAAUUAGUUUUAGGAUGACACUACUAGGAGAAACCUUUCGAGAUGUACCAUUGAAAAGAUAUCAUGUGCCGUUUUAAUCUAUUAUAUAGUGCAGAAAUACAAAUAUUCAUUCGAGAACAAUGUUUUUGAACUUUUCUGGUACUCUCAAGUGAGGUAUCUUUUGUGGUCUUGCUGAUAUACAUAAACCAUAACCAUAUUUUGUAUGAUUCUUGGCAUCCUUGGAGUGAAAGACAGUGACUGCAUAAUGAAGUUUAAAUCAUAUUUCAUAUGUUUGUUUCGGUUAUAACCUUUUCUUUUAUUUGCUUCUAGGAUCAGUUUGGAAUCAGCCUUCUAGAUAAGAAUAACUGAAAAUUGAUGUACAAUAUUUGGUGUGUAAUUUUAGUGUGAAAAUGGGCUUAAGUUAUUUGAAUACUAUUGUAUAAAAUGUACUUUUUUUAACCGCCCUUACAAAUGAGGAAAAAAUAUAGUCCCAAGCAUUUUGAAGUGAGAUCAGCUCUUGUCGUUUCGUUCGUUUUUCAGUUUCUUUUGCCACAUGGUUUUGUUAAGCAAAACUAUUCAACAAGAAGGACUUCUGUAUUUAAACCUUAGUUUAGCUCAGCUGGUUACUUCUAUUCGGAGCUUUACUAACGGUUGAAAGUGUUACACUUUCAAUUAACACUUUAUUUUUGUAUUGUCCAUUUGUAUUUAACCCUUCACAAUUUUUGAUUCUUGGAUCGCUUCUGCUGUGAUACUAUUUGUGCUAUACUUUCAAUUAGUUGUUUUGAAAUUCUGAGCUUUCUAUCAUAUUUUUUGAGUUAUCCAUGUUGUACCCAAUGUAUGUCGAAUGAACAUGGCAUGCUGUGUGAGAGAGGGAUGGAAAUUGCAAUUCUUCAGUGUCAUAUAUUUAGAAAAUCGCAUCUCCAAUGUCUGGUCAGGAUUGAGGCUCCUUUAUCUUUUUUUUUCUCAUUUGUUAUAAGCUGAACAUUUGUGCUUUCAAACCACAUAUGAUCUAGAAUAAUCUAGAUGCACACCCAGUUGUGUCAGGGGAUACAUCCCUGUUUAAGGACAUAAUAAACUCAUCUGUAAAUGGAAACGCAGUAAGUAGUCAUACUCAGGAACCUAAAAAGAAAAGAGAAUAAAGCAAAAUUCCCCGAGAAAGGUCGUGUAGCCCAGGACAAAAUAAGGUGCAGCUUUGGGUAGCGUUAACCAUGCCAAAGUAGUAGGAUGACCACUUACUGGUGACUGGUGGAGCCACCUGGAACCAGGCCCGCAUGUCAGUGCCUGAACGGCACGCGCCCGUACGUCAGGGGAGUUGUCUCCAACGUAGCAUGGGCACAUGCUUCUUCAAUAUGUCAGAACCGUCGAUGUUAAGGAUGACCACCGUGGUUGCCCCCAUAUCCAGAACCGCUGCUGCCGGGGAUAGUUGUCGUGGCUACGUCUGCCUAGCUAGAAGACAAGGUUUAGUGUGGUGCUUGAGGAGGUCCUUCGCUGACAGGCAAGGCGCUCAUGGACAUUCCACCACUGAUGUCCUUGCGGUUUGCUUCCGUCAUAUUUCUUAAGCAAAAAAGUCAUCUUUACUAUCGUAAUAUUGUUUCCUUGCCUAAUAUUUUGAAUUGUGCUUAACCUUAUAUUAUUUUUGCAGUCAUGUUUACUUGUGAUGGUAUUAAGAUUCUGAUAAUGUCCAUUUUACCCCGCUGGCAUAUAUGCGCUUUUAGAAGCAUUGACUUGAUAGUGGAAAGGAAUGAUGCGUUUUGGGUUAUAUUGUUUCAUCAGUGGAUUUAGGGAGAGGGAAAAGGUGUGAACAUAUGUAUGUAUAUGUAACUCAUUGCUGUUCAUAAAUCUGAAGAACGAUCAACGGCAACCCAGAACAAUGAAAAUGAAAUCGUGAAGUUAAAUUCCUUGACUAUGUACACAAAUGCUUAAGUACAUUACAAAGUACUCUAGAUGACUCAACUUUGUACUAACUUUAGUAUAAAGUUGAGUCAUCUAUUUUGGAACGGAGGGAGUAUAAUUUUCUUAAUUAUAGCUUUUCUGAUACCUCAAGCACAAAUUCGUUUGUAAUAUUUUUAACUUUUAUGAUUGGAUAUUUUAUCUAUACUCCUCACAAAAAAGAAUAUUUUAUCUAUAAACGUGAAUUUUCACGUGCACGCUUACUGGUUUCAAAAGAAAGAGGCGAAGUAUCAGGUGAAAUAGGUUUUCGGUGAAAAUAGGUUUUCAGUGAAAAUCUGAAAAUUCUCACGUGGUCCAUCGGAUCUUAAUAAGCGGCUCCGAUCAAAGGUGGGAUUCUCACGGUCCACUUAAAUGAAAUUAGUGGAUAACCUCCUGUUCUCUUAGUGAUUAUAUAACGAAUAUCAUGUGGGGACGCCAUGACGGUUUCGAGACAUCCAGAGGCCGCGAGGCACCACGUCAGAGCUCUCAUCGGCAAGGAGAGCUCCCGAGGAUCUGAGGCGAGGACGCCGCCCUGGGGGAAGGCAACGAUAUCCACGGCAUCCGCCCCGGUAGCUUCACCGACAACGCAGACCAUGUGGCGGGGGAGUGGGACUGCGUAGGUGAUGCGCACGCGGCAGACUAGCCGCAGCCCGCAAGGAUGAAGUCGAGCGGCGUGGUGCUACCAGCGCAUCCGUCUGGUGAGCCGCGUCCGUCACAGUUGCGGCCGGAUGCAGGCUGCCCCCAUGCUUCGUUUUUCUCUGAAAAAUUGCACCUCAACUUUACAAUUCUAUGAAGAAACGUCCAGCACAACCUCUAUUAUCUCAGAAAAUGUACCUGACAUGCCUAAGCUUGUGCAUUGAGAUUUGUUGUCUUGUUAGUGUUGGAGUUAUGCAACUCUGUAGUUUUCACAGUGAUUGUUCGAUGGCGAUGAGCAAACUGAAAAUCGUAAGUAUCUCGUUGUAGAUUGUGUCAUGAGCUUGUUAUAAUAUAUAACCGUAUUGUAUUUGUAUAGAUAUACGGUUGUAUAUGUGUAGUCCUUGUAUAGGUGUCCUUGUAUUGCACGAUACGAACUCUGCCUUGUAACCUUUAUAUAAUGAUCAAUACAAGGCACCACAACGUGUGGU